GGGUUGUGAGGUUAAGCGACUAAGCGUACACGGUGGAUGCCCUGGCAGUCAGAGGCGAUGAAGGACGUGCUAAUCUGCGAAAAGCGCCGGCGAGGUGAUAUGAACCUUUGACCCGGCGAUGUCCGAAUGGGGAAACCCAGUGCAAUUCGUUGCACUAUCGUUAACUGAAUACAUAGGUUAACGAGGCGAACCGGGGGAACUGAAACAUCUAAGUACCCCGAGGAAAAGAAAUCAACCGAGAUUCCCCCAGUAGCGGCGAGCGAACGGGGAGCAGCCCAGAGUCUGAAUCAGCUUGUGUGUUAGUGGAAGCGUCUGGAAAGUCGCACGGUACAGGGUGACAGUCCCGUACACGAAAGCACACAGGUUGUGAACUCGAAGAGUAGGGCGGGACACGUGGUAUCCUGUCUGAAUAUGGGGGGACCAUCCUCCAAGGCUAAAUACUCCUGACUGACCGAUAGUGAACCAGUACCGUGAGGGAAAGGCGAAAAGAACCCCGGCGAGGGGAGUGAAAAAGAACCUGAAACCGUGUACGUACAAGCAGUGGGAGCACCUUCGUGGUGUGACUGCGUACCUUUUGUAUAAUGGGUCAGCGACUUAUAUUCUGUAGCAAGGUUAACCGUAUAGGGGAGCCGAAGGGAAACCGAGUCUUAACUGGGCGUUAAGUUGCAGGGUAUAGACCCGAAACCCGGUGAUCUAGCCAUGGGCAGGUUGAAGGUUGGGUAACACUAACUGGAGGACCGAACCGACUAAUGUUGAAAAAUUAGCGGAUGACUUGUGGCUGGGGGUGAAAGGCCAAUCAAACCGGGAGAUAGCUGGUUCUCCCCGAAAGCUAUUUAGGUAGCGCCUCGUGAACUCAUCUUCGGGGGUAGAGCACUGUUUCGGCUAGGGGGCCAUCCCGGCUUACCAACCCGAUGCAAACUACGAAUACCGAAGAAUGUUAUCACGGGAGACACACGGCGGGUGCUAACGUCCGUCGUGAAGAGGGAAACAACCCAGACCGCCAGCUAAGGUCCCAAAGUCAUGGUUAAGUGGGAAACGAUGUGGGAAGGCACAGACAGCCAGGAUGUUGGCUUAGAAGCAGCCAUCAUUUAAAGAAAGCGUAAUAGCUCACUGGUCGAGUCGGCCUGCGCGGAAGAUGUAACGGGGCUAAACCAUGCACCGAAGCUGCGGCAGCGACACUAUGUGUUGUUGGGUAGGGGAGCGUUCUGUAAGCCGUUGAAGGUGUGCUGUGAGGCAUGCUGGAGGUAUCAGAAGUGCGAAUGCUGACAUAAGUAACGAUAAAGCGGGUGAAAAGCCCGCUCGCCGGAAGACCAAGGGUUCCUGUCCAACGUUAAUCGGGGCAGGGUGAGUCGACCCCUAAGGCGAGGCCGAAAGGCGUAGUCGAUGGGAAACAGGUUAAUAUUCCUGUACUUGGUGUUACUGCGAAGGGGGGACGGAGAAGGCUAUGUUAGCCGGGCGACGGUUGUCCCGGUUUAAGCAUGUAGGCGGAGGUUCCAGGUAAAUCCGGUACCUUUUAACGCUGAGGUGUGAUGACGAGGCACUACGGUGCUGAAGUAACAAAUGCCCUGCUUCCAGGAAAAGCCUCUAAGCAUCAGGUAACACGAAAUCGUACCCCAAACCGACACAGGUGGUCAGGUAGAGAAUACCAAGGCGCUUGAGAGAACUCGGGUGAAGGAACUAGGCAAAAUGGUGCCGUAACUUCGGGAGAAGGCACGCUGAUAUGUAGGUGAAGCCCCUGCGGGUGGAGCUGAAAUCAGUCGAAGAUACCAGCUGGCUGCAACUGUUUAUUAAAAACACAGCACUGUGCAAACACGAAAGUGGACGUAUACGGUGUGACGCCUGCCCGGUGCCGGAAGGUUAAUUGAUGGGGUUAGCGGCAACGCGAAGCUCUUGAUCGAAGCCCCGGUAAACGGCGGCCGUAACUAUAACGGUCCUAAGGUAGCGAAAUUCCUUGUCGGGUAAGUUCCGACCUGCACGAAUGGCGUAAUGAUGGCCAGGCUGUCUCCACCCGAGACUCAGUGAAAUUGAACUCGCUGUGAAGAUGCAGUGUACCCGCGGCAAGACGGAAAGACCCCGUGAACCUUUACUAUAGCUUGACACUGAACACUGGUCCUUGAUGUGUAGGAUAGGUGGGAGGCUUUGAAGCGUGGACGCCAGUCUGCGUGGAGCCGUCCUUGAAAUACCACCCUUUAAUGGCUGGUGUUCUAACGUAGACCCGUAAUCCGGGUUGCGGACAGUGUCUGGUGGGUAGUUUGACUGGGGCGGUCUCCUCCCAAAGAGUAACGGAGGAGCACGAAGGUUAGCUAAUCCUGGUCGGACAUCAGGAGGUUAGUGCAAUGGCAUAAGCUAGCUUGACUGCGAGAGUGACGGCUCGAGCAGGUGCGAAAGCAGGUCAUAGUGAUCCGGUGGUUCUGAAUGGAAGGGCCAUCGCUCAACGGAUAAAAGGUACUCCGGGGAUAACAGGCUGAUACCGCCCAAGAGUUCAUAUCGACGGCGGUGUUUGGCACCUCGAUGUCGGCUCAUCACAUCCUGGGGCUGAAGUAGGUCCCAAGGGUAUGGCUGUUCGCCAUUUAAAGUGGUACGCGAGCUGGGUUUAGAACGUCGUGAGACAGUUCGGUCCCUAUCUGCCGUGGGCGCUGGAGAAUUGAGGGGGGCUGCUCCUAGUACGAGAGGACCGGAGUGGACGCAUCACUGGUGUUCGGGUUGUCAUGCCAAUGGCACUGCCCGGUAGCUAAAUGCGGAAAAGAUAAGUGCUGAAAGCAUCUAAGCACGAAACUUGCCCCGAGAUGAGUUCUCCCUGAGACUUUAAGUCUCCUGAAGGAACGUUGAAGACGACGACGUUGAUAGGUCGGGUGUGUAAGCGCAG
rnacentral:rRNA from 1 species